GGUUUGUAAACAGUGUUAAAAAAUAAUGGCUAUGGAUACCGUAUACAAACAUUUAAAAAUUCGAAACAGACCUUACAGCGUGAACGAUAUAGUGUUAAAUUUACAUAACGAAUUUGGAAAGUCUGCCGUUCAAAAAGCUAUAGAUCACUUACUCGCGGAAGGAAAGAUUUUUGAAAAAGUAUAUGGAAAGCAAAAAGUUUAUUGCGUCGUUCAAGACUCGACCAAGGAUAUAGAAGAAUUAAUGAGAAUCGAUAAGGAAUUACAAGUGCAUGCAAACGAAGUAGAGACCAGGUAUCAAGAGCUUGAGAAAGAGAUAAAAACUCAAGAAACUUUGUUGACAUCGUUAAAGUCAUCUGUCACUCUCGAAGAAGCACGCCGAGAGAAAGUUUUGCUCGAAGAAAGUAUUGAAGUUUUAGCCAACAAGUUAGAUGUACUUGUCGCAACUACCGGAAGUACGGAUUUAACCGAAACGAAAAAAAAAACGGAAUCUUCCUUAGACGAAUAUUCUCGUGAAUAUCUUAAACGUAAAAGAUUAUGUACAGAAUUAAUAGACUGCAUUCUGGAAAAUUAUCCUGGUACUAAAAGUGAAUUAUACGAUGAAAUAGGUAUAGAUCCAAUGAUUAUUAAGUAAUAAGACUAAUAGGAUAUAAAUAUAUUUUUCGUUGUUAUCAUGGGAUAAGGAUACAAAGGCACGACAAUUCAUUGCGUGCUGUUAAAGCGUCAUCUUCCAUUAGCCAAAUAAUUUGACAAUCUCUUGAAGCUUAAAUAAUGGGUCGAAAUGUUUAGACCAGGAUUUUUUAUCGUUGGAUUUCAUAUAAGAUCCUUCCAGGACGCACUUACCGUUGAGACAAUACUGAAAAAAGAACAAAUAAUUAAUUAUAACAAACUAAUUAGUCUAAUGCGUUAUACUUACAACUCCAUCUCCGCAAGGAGAGCCUUCGGCUGCUGGAGCUAUAGCUGUACACGCUCUCAUAGUUCCUGGUACUAGACAAUCUAAUCUAAUACAGGCGGUAUGAUCGGUCUGAAAAAAUACCAAUAUUCGAAUGUAUUUAACUAGUUAUGCUCGUAUCUAUAUACGUAUAUUUUUGACAACUUACAUUACACGCUCUUGUUCCUUGUCCGUGCACUUUUUUACAUUGAUAAUCUAGCGACAUUAAUUUGCCAGGUAGAAUUCGUGGUAACGGACGACCUCUGACGGGUUUAUUAUAAAGACAUUUUGCUCUUUCUUCGCUGCAAUAAUAAUACUCUUAGAUAUGUUACGAAUAGGAUAUGAAAUGGAAAAAAGGAAAGCUUACUUAAGGAAUGUAUAAAAUGCGUGUAUAGAACAGUUGGACCAUUGAAAUCCAUUUUCAUUGAGCAAUAGUCCACUGGUCAUGAUGAAGCCGUCAUCCGCCGAACAAUUGAUAUAUAUUAUAAGAAUUUUCACAAAGAUAGUAACGUACAGAUGACCAACUUCAUGAGCAGCUGGUAUAAUUCCGCUGAAACCACCAUUGUCUUCUACGAUACCAGCCAUUUCGGAAGUUUUGUUAUCGUCUUGUCUGUUACAUGCUCCUGAUACGUAUGCGUAACCUGUGUAAAUAAAUACAUCCAAAUAAAAUGUUGAAUAUUUAAAAUAA
rnacentral:misc_RNA from 1 species